CGACCUGCUAAAUAGUACGUGAAUGCCUCGGUAUUCACGCGACUUCUUAGAGGGACUAUCGGUGAGUAGCCGAUGGAAGUUCGAGGCAAUAACAGGUCUGUGAUGCCCUUAGAUGUUCUGGGCCGCACGCGCGCUACACUGAUACGUUCAUCGAGCUUACAACCUACACCGAAAGGUGCGGGUAAUCUUCUCAACGCGUAUCGUGCUGGGGAUAGAUUAUUGUAAUUUUUAAUCUUCAACGAGGAAUUCCUAGUAAACGCAAGUCAUCAACUUGCAUUGAUUACGUCCCUGCCCUUUGUACACACCGCCCGUCGCU
rnacentral:rRNA from 1 species